rnacentral:rRNA from 1 species
CGGGUGAGUAACGCGUGAGAAUCUGGCUUCAGGUCUGGGACAACCACUGGAAACGGUGGCUAAUACCGGAUGUGCCCUUAGGGGUGAAAGGUUAACUGCCUGAAGAUGAGCUCGCGUCUGAUUAGCUGGUAGGUGUGGUAAAGGCGCACCUAGGCGACGAUCAGUAGCUGGUCUGAGAGGACGAUCAGCCACACUGGGACUGAGACACGGCCCAG